AUACUCUUAAAGCCAGUCUCAGUUCGGAUUGUAGGCUGCAACUCGCCUACAUGAAGUCGGAAUCGCUAGUAAUCGCGGAUCAGCACGCCGCGGUGAAUACGUUCCCGGGCCUUGUACACACCGCCCGUCACACCACGAGAGUUUGUAACACCCGAAGUCGGUGAGGUAACCUAUUAGGAGCCAGCCGCCUAAGGUGGGAUAGAUGAUUGGGGUGAAGUCGUAACAAGGUAAC
rnacentral:rRNA from 1 species